CCAAUAGCGUAUAUUAAAGUUGUUGCAGUUAAAAAGCUCGUAGUUGAAUUUCGGGGUUAGUAGGUUGGUCAUGCCUCUGGUAUGUACUGGUCUCACUGGUUCCUCCUUCCUGAUGAGCCGUAAUGCCAUUAAUUUGGUGUUGCAGGGAAUUUUGACUGUUACUGUGAAAAAAUUAGAGUGUUUAAAGCUAGCUAACGCUUGAAUACAUUAGCAUGGAAUAAUGAAAUAGGACGUUCGAUCCUAUUUUGUUGGUUUCUAGGAUUGACGUAAUGAUUAAUAGGUAUAGUUGGGGGCAUUAGUAUUCAAUUGUCAGAGGUGAAAUUCUUGGAUUUAUUGAAGACUAACUACUGCGAAAGCAUUUGCCAAGGAUGUUUUCAUUAAUCAAGAACGAAAGUUAGGGGAUCGAAGACGAUCAGAUACCGUCGUAGUCUUAACCAUAAACUAUGCCGACUAGGGAUCGGAUGAUGUUAAUUUUUUAAUGACUCAUUCGGCGCCUUACG
rnacentral:rRNA from 1 species